rnacentral:rRNA from 1 species
UACGUAGGCAGCAAGCGUUGUUCGGAUUUACUGGGCGUAAAGAGCGCGCAGGCGGUCGUUCAAGUCGCGUGUGAAAGCCCCCGGCUCAACUGGGGAGGGUCACGCGAUACUGAUCGACUCGAAGGCAGGAGAGGGUAGUGGAAUUCCCGGUGUAGUGGUGAAAUGCGUAGAUAUCGGGAGGAACACCAGUGGCGAAGGCGACUACCUGGCCUGUUCUUGACGCUGAGGCGCGAAAGCUAGGGGAGCAAACGGG